rnacentral:tRNA from 1 species
GAAAAGUUAGUUAAAAUAUAACGGUAUCUUGUCAAGAUAUAAUUGCUAAAAAAUUAGUCCUUUUCU